GUGUCAGCCGCCGCGGUAAUACGAAGGGGGCUAGCGUUGCUCGGAAUCACUGGGCGUAAAGGGCGCGUAGGCGGCCAUUCAAGUCGGGGGUGAAAGCCUGUGGCUCAACCACAGAAUUGCCUUCGAUACUGUUUGGCUUGAGUUUGGUAGAGGUUGGUGGAACUGCGAGUGUAGAGGUGAAAUUCGUAGAUAUUCGCAAGAACACCAGUGGCGAAGGCGGCCAACUGGACCAACACUGACGCUGAGGCGCGAAAGCGUGGGGAGCAAACAGGAUUAGAAACCCCGGUAGUCC
rnacentral:rRNA from 1 species